CCCAUAGGAGGGCUCCUCGGCUCUGAGCCACCUGGCGCUGCCUGGGAACAGCCUGAGCGAUGGGGACGUGGCCGAGCUGGCGCGGUGCCUCCCCCUGUGCCCGGCUCUGGAUUCCCUGGAUCUUGCGGCCAAUCCCGGGAUCGGCCCCACAGGAAUGGGGCUGCUGCUGGGGGCCCUGGAAGAGCGGAGCCGGGGGCUGAGCCUGCUGAGCCUGGCGGGCUGCUCCGUGCGGGCCCCAUUGGACGAUCCCAACUGGUCCAGGGCCCUGGGCCUGAUCCGGGACCUGCGCCUGUGCGGCCGGAGCAUCGCCCAUCCCGAUCCCAAGGGCGCAUCCCAAUCCCGACCCCUUCCCACCGGGAGCCUCGCGCGGCACCGGAAACUCCUCUGGAAGAGCCCCUGAUGGGGGGUUUAUCCCUUAGAUCC